rnacentral:rRNA from 1 species
UACAGAGGGGGCAAGCGUUGUUCGGAAUUACUGGGCGUAAAGGGCGCGUAGGCGGCCGCCUAAGUCAGACGUGAAAUACUCCGGCUCACCCGGAGAACUGCAUCCCAAACUGCCUAGCUUGAGUAUGGGAGAGGAUGAGGGAAUUCCUGGUGUAGCGGUGAAAUGCGUAGAUAUCAGGAGGAACACCGGUGGCGAAAGCGACUUCCUGGACCAAUACUGACGCUCAUGUGCGAAAGCGUGGGGAGCAAACAGG